rnacentral:tRNA from 1 species
GGGGAUUUAGCUCAGCGGCAUAAGCACCUGCCUUGCAAGCAGGCUGUCGUGAGUUCGACCCCCGUUACCACCG